rfam:Oryza glaberrima chromosome 11 Oglab11_0030_12, whole genome shotgun sequence.
UUUAAGUGGAACCAUGAGUUUCCGUGUCCAACUUUUAUCGUUUGUUUUAUUUGAAAUUUUUUAUAAUUAGUAUUUUUAUUGUUAUGAGAUGUUAAAAUAUGAAUAGUAUUUUAUGCACGACUUAUGUUUCUAAAUUUUAUCAAAAUUUUUUUAAAUAAGACGGACGAUCAAAGUUGGGCACGAAAAAUCAUGUUUACACUUAAA